UGCGUCGGCCUCGUAGAUGGACCAGGAGCUCGACGUUCCUUAAGGCCGUUCUUUCCGACCCAUACAAGGUUUCGUCGCCUGCAUUGUUCCAAGAGUGUCUUGGACGAAAGCAGGAAGUGGAACCUUGUUAAGGUCGGAACGAACUGCCUUAAGGAAGUCGAUGCUCCAGGUCCGUCCACGAGGACGACGCA
rfam:Oryza glaberrima chromosome 7 Oglab07_0084_3, whole genome shotgun sequence.